rnacentral:rRNA from 1 species
GCAAGUCGAACGGUAACGCGGCAGAGCUUGCUCUCUGGCGACGAGUGGCGGAGGGUGNGUAAUACUUAGGAAUCUGCCCAGUAGUGGGGGACAACUCGUAGGAAACUCGAGCUAAUACCGCAUACGCCCUACGGGGGAAAGCGGGGGAUCUUCGGACCUCGCGCUAUUGGAUGAGCCUAAGUCGGAUUAGCUUGUAGGUAGGGUAACGGCCUACCUAGGCGACGAUCCGUAGCUGGUCUGAGAGGACGAUCAGCCACACUGGGACUGAGACACGGCCCAGACUCCUACGGGAGGCAGCAGUGGGGAAUAUUGGACAAUGGGCGCAAGCCUGAUCCAGCAAUGCCGCGUGUGUGAAGAAGGCCUGCGGGUUGUAAAGCACUUUCAGUAGAGAAGAAAAGCUUACGGUUAAUAACCGUGAGUCUUGACGUAACCUACAGAAGAAGCACCGGCUAACUCCGUGCCAGCAGCCGCGGUAAUACGGAGGAUGCAAGCGUUAAUCGGAAUUACUGGGCGUAAAGCGCGCGUAGGCGGCUUGGUCAGUCGGAUGUGAAAGCCCAGGGCUUAACCCUGGAAUUGCAUUCGAUACUGCCUGGCUAGAGUAUGGUAGAGGGAAGUGGAAUUUCCGGUGUAGCGGUGAAAUGCGUAGAUAUCGGAAGGAACACCAGGUGGCGAAGGCGACUUCCUGGG